GCACUCCCUUCGGCAGCGCAUAUACUAAAACUGGAAUGAUACACAGAAGAUUUAGCGUGGCCCCUGCAUGAGGAUGAUGUGCAGGCUUCUGAGAUUUGCUCAGAGGCA
ensembl:snRNA U6 U6 spliceosomal RNA